rnacentral:lncRNA from 1 species
GGGUGGUGAGAGAUAUUUUGAGGGAUUCGAAAUUCGAAUUUGAAUUUUGAAUAGGUUGUUUGAUAGUUGGAGGUUUUUUUGGAAUUGGUUGGAGAUUCGAAAUUCGAAAUCGAAUUUUGAAUCGGUUGUUGGAUGGUUGGAAUUGGUUGGGAAUUCGAAAUUCGAAAUCCAAUUUUAAAUCGGUUGUUGGAUGGUUGGAGGAUUUUUGGGAAUUGGUUAGGGAUUCGAAAUUCGAAAUCGAAUUUUGAAUCGGUUGUUGGAGGAUAUUUUGGAAAUUGGUUAGAAAUUCGAAAUUCGAAAUUGAAUUUUGAAUGGGUUGUUGGAUGGUUAGGUAUUCAAAAUUCGAAUGAGAGAUAUUUUGGGUGUUGGUUCGAAAUUCGAAAUCGAAUUUCGAAUCGAAUUUGAAUAUGGUAUUCGAGAUUGAAUUUUUAAAUGUGGGUAAAAAUGUGGGCCGUUAUUUCAUGAAUUGGGCUGAAAUUGGGCCCACUUUGAUGAAACUUGUUGGGCACGAAUAUUCAUUGGGCUGAGAUGAGGCCCGAAUUUUUGUAUAGGCCUAAAAUCUUACAGGGCUUUUAUGAGGCCCAUUAAUUCACAUUUAUGAAUGGGCCUAUUGUGGAUUAAAAUCAUAAUUAUUGGCCCCAAGAUUUCUCGGUCAACAUGAGACCUUUUGGGAUUGUAUGAAUCCGAAUUUAAUCGGUUUUAAUUACUUUACCCAAUUUUUUUUUCACUUCAAACAAAUUACCCCCCACUUUUUCGACGUAAGAGUUUCGCGCGUCGAAAAGGUGCUCCUCUUUUCAUUCAUUUUUUUUUUUGUUCCUUUUUUUGGAUUUGGUUCCCUUCUUUGACCGUACUUUUUUCUUCUUUUUUUUUACUCGGUCCCCCACAUAGACCGUACCGGUUUUUUUUUUUUUUUUUAUCCUCUNNNNNNNNNNNNNNNNNNNNNNNNNNNNNNNNNAACCAAAACCGGAACAACGUUAGACUACUCAGUUGAGCCCUAAUAGNGAGUUUCGCGCGUCGAAAAGGUGCUCCUCUUUUCAUUCAUUUUUUUUUUUGUUCC